AUGUCAAAGCAGAAACAGCCUCGGAAAGUGCGGGGUCCUCAGCGACGGGCCCUGCUUGCCAGGCGGCCUUCAGCAGGGUGGCAGCAGGCAGGGCAUCUGUGCCAUCUUCAGCCACUGAAUCGUUUACAAGUUUUCGAGGUGGAGACGGCGGGAAGCCGUUUGACAGGUGCUGCAUCUUUAGGGAGGAGCUCUCGGCAAACCAGGCUCAGAGAAGCCAAGGAAGUGACUCACGGUGGCAGAGCUCGGUCUACAAGCCGCAUCGCCAUACUCUGCCUUCCCCGCUCUUUGCACCAGAGAUCUCCGAGAAGUCGGGGUCUCGCCUGUCGACCGCCUACUGCCCUCCUCCCCUCAGUUCCACCACCACAGCAUCGAUCACAAAAGGAACCUUCCCUGAGAGGAUGUCCCGUGGACUUUUCUCCGUCUUCUGGACACACGAGUGCCCUUCGUCCGGGUCGGCGUGGGCAGGGCCGGGCGGCACAGGGGGCCCCAGAGAAGGUGAGUCUCCCAGAUUCCGCUCGGACGAGCCGAAGGACGAGCGGGGGACGGCUCAGGUCCCUCCCUGGCGAGUGCACAGAAGAACCACACAGGAGGCUUCAUCCGCUUUCUUUCCCCUGGUGGACGGGGCUUAGCAACUAUCCUGCUUCUCCGAGAAUGCGCCUCAAGUGCGUCCUCAGAGGGGAGAGAGACGGGAGAAGAGCUGCUUGCUGGCGGCCGAGGCGGCUUCGCUUGGCAGUGGGGCCCUCCCCCCCACCCCGCCAGGCCCCGCCCCUUUGUCACGCAGCCCCCAUCUGCCCCUGCACCGGGCACGGGGGACACGGCAAUCCCGAGGCUGUGCCCUGCUUCCUGCCGUGAGCAUCUCUGAUAAUCGAACGGAAGCGACGCAGCGACCCGACUCGUGACCUGCUCAGCCGGCCACCCAGGCCUUGUCGGUGCCGGGCAGUGCCCCGCAGGUGGAGUCCCAGGUAGGAGGCCGGGGCUCCGGAG
rnacentral:lncRNA from 1 species